UACGUAGGGUGCAAGCGUUGUCCGAAUUAUUGGGCGUAAAGAGCUCGUAGGCGGUUUGUCGCGUCUGCUGUGAAAACCCGGGGCUCAACCCCGGGCCUGCAUUCGAUACGGGCAGACUAGAGUUCGGUAGGGGAGUCUGGAAUUCCUGGUGUAGCGGUGAAAUGCGCAGAUAUCAGGAGGAACGCCGGUGGCGAAGGCGGGACUCUGGGCCGAUACUGACGCUGAGGAGCGAAAGCGUGGGGAGCAAACAGG
rnacentral:rRNA from 1 species